AGCCUUCUUGACAACAGACUUACCCUCUUCAUCUCCAGACUCCUCCUUCACUGGUUUCUUAGCUUCAGGCUUUUUGGCAGGAGCUUUCUUGGCAACAGGC